GUUAAAGUCUCAAAUCAGAAUUCCUCCCUCUACAACACACUAAUUUCCAGAGUACUUGCGUAUUAGUCGAUCACUAAAUAUUGUUUCAAUCAGACCACUUGCUGCCAGAGCCUGAAAUAGAAGAACAUCUCUAAAAUAUCGCAAGUGGACAAUUAGUUUGGUGGCGUUACGCUGGUCGGUAACAAGUGCAAUCGGAAAUGAAUAACAACGCGAAAUCUCGUAUUCUUUUCAACGAUAACGAGCUCAUAUCAUACUUCCGUGUGCUCAUCAAGGAAUCCAACAUUGAUCUCUCAAUGAGUGAUGAAUUGCUAAUGUGCUUUAUCCAUGCACGUAAAGGUGACGUUCACAGAGCGAUGAAAUUGCUGAACAACUACGUGAGAAUGACAAAACAAUAUCCUAAACUUGCACAGUUAUGUCCGUUGCGUGUGAAACACGUGCUCGAUUCGCACUUUUUUGCUUCUCCGCAUCGCGAGCAAAAUGGAUGUCGCAUAUUGUUGAUAAAUUUACGGAAGUGGGAUCUCCGCAUUUGUAGUUUGGAAGACAUUUUCCUUGCUUUAGUGUUCUGCUUUCAGAGACUGGUAUCUGAACUUGAAACCCAAACUAAUGGUAUAGUACUUAUCCUCGAUGUUAAAGAUUUGUCACUUAAUCACGUAAGGCAGUUUACACCGUAUUGGGUUAAGAUAAUUGCGGAUAUUGCUCAGGAUGUGUUUCCUAUCCGAUUUCAAGGAAUUCAUGUUGUUAAUGAACCUCGGAUUAUGAAAGUCCUUGUAGCCAUAUUUUGGCCCUUUUUAUCGAACAAAAUUCGCAGUCGGUUGUUCUUUCACGGCCAAUGUUUCGCAACUGUUCACCACCACGUUGAUCCCGCUUGUCUGCCCAACGACUAUAACGGCUGUAUGAAAUCGAUGGACACCAUGCGUUUUUCUAGCAUAUUUUUCGAGAUAUUUAAAUGCACGUGCUUUUCGCGAGCCUUUCUAACAAAAACAAUUGGAUUUUGAAUGGACCCGGAGCAAGAAAUGCGGAUCGAGGAAAUUCGCUUAGCUUAAUCAAAAGCUACAACAAAUCUCAAUAUGGUUUUUUUACAUAAAUUGAUUAUUUAAAAUGUCAAAAUCUUCACGUUCAAAUCAAAUUAGCAGACUUACAGGUCAUCCUAGCCUAUUGGAAAUAUCUCAACAAAUUGGUACUAUUCUUGUAAAUUAUCGCUAGUGGUUAGUAAUCUAUAAGAAUAAGCUAUCGUUACUAGCUGUAGUUCUGAUUCAUAUGCAUGAUAAUCCUGUUAAUUUCCAUGAAUGCAGUUUAAUCAAGUGGUUUGCUGGAAAGGCAGUGUUUUGUAUCUAAUAGAUCCUGUACAGUUAUAACAAUAAGGUUAUCUAGGCAUCAGUGUGUCCUUAUUUGGAACCUUGGUGCUUCUCUUAGGUCGGUACAUGUAGACUACGUACAUUUUCCUCAUUACCAAAAGCAUUAUCAAGCACUUGAUGAUUGCCAAGGUUUCUUUAUCAGCUAUUAGUAGCUUUAUUUAAUGUAAUUACAACGUAUUACGUAUAAUGUGGCUAAAAAUAACUAUUUUUGAGAAGGACACAAAUUAUUUCAUGUUUAUGGGCAAAAUGGAGAUCGAUACUUCCUUGACAUAAGUGACAAUGCAAGGAAAACAAGACACCACAUAUAUCGGCCGUAUAGAAAACACAGCUAAAAAUGGGUUCCAGCUAUUGUUUUAAUCUGAAAUACAUUAUACUUCAUCGAAGUAUAGGCCUUGUUAUCCCCUGCUAUCCCUCACAUUUUCUACGGUUUCAAGUGAAGUAAAAACAUAUUUGACCUAGUUUUGCUUACAGGAAAACCUUCGUCCUUGACCUGCCUGACCAUUUUCUAAAUGACAAUGGUCUACAAGUAGACUUGUACUGAGUGGGAAAUUCAGAGCGCACAUGCUAGUUGUAUUUGUGACUGUGAACAAGUCGUACGGGGGGGCCGUUAGAACAUAUCAACCACUUUCGACUGGAAAUUUAGUCGUACUUUGUUGAGAACCAAGGUUUGACAACUUUGGUGAGUGUAACGAAAAAUGAACAGUAAUACGAGGUCUCAAA
rnacentral:misc_RNA from 1 species